rnacentral:lncRNA from 1 species
GCAAUCUCUAAUAUGUGGGAGUCUGACUGUUCAAAACCUAAUAUUAAAUAAAACCUAAAUCCACAAAAUCCGUGUGAGGGACAGUUACUGAUUUUUAUACCCUUUGCCUCCCCCAUUCUUAUCUGCUAAGUCUUCUUUACAUCACUGCUCCUUUGUUUUAUUUUCUAUCUGGAGAUGAGCCUGUGAAUUUUGCCAUUUGGCUUUUCUCUGGAGUUUUUUUCCCCCCAUGGGUAACAGUGGGAGGAGACAAAAAGUUAGAUUUAAAAAAAAAUUCUGUAAGUGGCCUUAUCAUUGUAACAUGUUAAAAGAAUACAAAUGUUUGCAAAGACCUUAUCCCUUUCAAUAAUUCAGGUAUCUCUCUCUGUAUCCUGUAACUCAAGGUGUAAGUGCCACAGGUAGACAAGGAACUCCAAAAUGCAAGCAGUGUGGCAGAAACAGUCACUGGCUGAUAAUUUAUUAUACUCAGAACUGUGACUUGUUUUUCUGGGGAAGUGACUCAGAGCUUUUUUGAUGCAUAGUUGAGAUACCCACAUAUCAAGGCAGAGACCCCGCAGGGCUCAGAAGAGCAGCAGUGCACUCCCGGGGAAUCUCUGGAUAAAAAUUUGCAUGGUAUAGUCAUAAUAGCUUUUGAGCUUUUUAUAUGCAUUUGGCACCAAGACUGGGAUCCACAACUUUAUAGACACUGUAAUGAAGUUACCAUAGUAGCUAGACUCUAAGUAAUAUUUGUAAUUACACACACAUACAUACAUACAUACAUACAUACAUACACAUACACACACAUACACAAAUACAUACAUGUAUUCUGUAAAAAAAAAAUCCUUUCUAAGAUCCUUGGGUAUGUGUUUGCUUUAUUCCAUUUCAGAAGAAAAAUAUUUUUCUUCUAAUAACUUAUGUUAUGGCUUCUCUAUUUUUUAAAGCUAGGAGAAGUGUUGAGAAGAGAAGUCUGGCUGUGUUAGCAGAAGAGUGGGUUCUGAUCCCUAUCUAGGAAAGUAGCCUCUAGUAACUUUACAGCAGCCAUUUGAGUCAGUAAGUGAGGGUACAGAGGGAUUCCACCAGGACCUCUGAAUGGAGGUGGCUGUUACCCAUGUCCAGAGCUCUUAAGAACAGAAAAUUUUAGCUUCUCACCAAUUCAAUAAACCUUUAGUUUUCUCAAUAGUACUGUCUUUCCAAAACGAAAUGCUUCGCAGAGGGCCCAUGGUGUUGACGCCUUGAUGACAGCCCUUUAUUAGUCAUUUCCAGAUAUGUCUGUGACAAUUCAGUAGCCCUUCUCUAUCAGUCCCAGCAGAAAAAAGACUCACCAGAGUGGAAUUAUCUUUAAUUGAAUGAAAGUCACUCCUGCUCACCAAUCCCGGGACAGUUGAGUGGUUGUGUUGCCAAUGCCGUGACACCCUCACUGCCCCUGAAUCUCAAAUGAACUAAAGAGUAUAUCAUAAUAAUGUUCCCACUAGGCUUUAAGUGACAUGUCCAUCUGCAGUAUUGUGUGUUUUGAUGCCAACACGGGGACAUCUUCAGUUGUUCCCAUCAAAAGCAGUUCUCUUGUUUUGAAACACGGAGUUGACAAUUUCACCAAUGAGAUCAUCUCAGAGGGGUCAGGCACAUUGUAGCUGUAGGUGUUUGAACCACGGAAACACAUUCUGAAAAGAUGUGUCCAUUGUUGAAUCUCCUUGCUUAAAAGCAUAAGCCUACUAUAAUUCAUAUUUUAACCCUCCACCUAAAAAUAAAAAGAGUUCAUAUUUCUGGCCAUUUUCUGUAAGCCAACUGAACCAAUGGUAAAAUAUUUUGUUACUUUUGGAAUGAACUCUGACUUCAUGUCAGUGUGAACUUUCCAUCACAGUAACAUUGACUCUUUGGGCAAAGAACUGCCCUGGUGGAGUAAAUUUCCCAGGACACUGGUGAGUGUACCUUGGACUGAUUACCUCUUCUACUGCAUUGAAAGGUGCCAUGUUUUCCUGAAUGACUAAAUCCCCCUCACCUUGUAAGUGACCUCCCAGAGUGGCUCAUGCACCAUAGCUCUCCUAGGGACGGCCCACAAACAUGUCAUUCGUGACUCAUUUUUCUACUUCCCAAGUCAGUAGAUGUGUUCAAGGUAAGUACAGGAUUGUUCUCGUAGGAAUAGGCGGUUGCUGUCCUGAUUGGUAUUCCCGUCGAUUUCAUUUCAUUGUAAAGAUUAAACUUAAACCCGGUUUUGCUUAAGCACAUUGAUGUAAUUUUUUGGUAUUAUUUGAC